GACGAACGCUGGCGGCGUGCUUAACACAUGCAAGUCGAACGAUGAAGCGGUGCUUGCACCGUGGAUUAGUGGCGAACGGGUGAGUAAUACGUGAGUGACCUACCUUUGACUCUGGGAUAAGCCUGGGAAACUGGGUCUAAUACCGGAUACGACCAAUCUCUGCAUGGGGUGUUGGUGGAAAGCGUUAUGGAGUGGUUUUAGAUGGGCUCACGGCCUAUCAGCUUGUUGGUGAGGUAAUGGCUUACCAAGGCGACGACGGGUAGCCGGCCUGAGAGGGUGACCGGCCACACUGGGACUGAGACACGGCCCAGACUCCUACGGGAGGCAGCAGUGGGGAAUAUUGCACAAUGGGCGCAAGCCUGAUGCAGCGACGCCGCGUGAGGGAUGACGGCCUUCGGGUUGUAAACCUCUGUUAGCAUCGAAGAAGCGAAAGUGACGGUAGGUGCAGAGAAAGCGCCGGCUAACUACGUGCCAGCAGCCGCGGUAAUACGUAGGGCGCGAGCGUUGUCCGGAAUUAUUGGGCGUAAAGAGCUUGUAGGCGGUUGGUCACGUCUGCUGUGAAGGCCGGGGCUUAACUCCGGUUUUGCAGUGGGUACGGGCUAACUAGAGUGCAGUAGGGGAGACUGGAAUUCCUGGUGUAGCGGUGGAAUGCACAGAUAUCAGGAGGAACACCGAUGGCGAAGGCAGGUCUCUGGGCUGUAACUGACGCUGAGAAGCGAAAGCAUGGGGAGCGAACAGGAUUAGAUACCCUGGUAGUCCAUGCCGUAAACGUUGGGCACUAGGUGUGGGGGACAUUCCACGUUUUCCGCGCCGUAGCUAACGCAUUAAGUGCCCCGCCUGGGGAGUACGGCCGCAAGGCUAAAACUCAAAGGAAUUGACGGGGGCCCGCACAAGCGGCGGAGCAUGCGGAUUAAUUCGAUGCAACGCGAAGAACCUUACCAAGGCUUGACAUGCAUUAGAUCGCGUCAGAGAUGGCAUUUCCCUUCGGGGCUGGUGUACAGGUGGUGCAUGGUUGUCGUCAGCUCGUGUCGUGAGAUGUUGGGUUAAGUCCCGCAACGAGCGCAACCCUCGUUCUAUGUUGCCAGCGGUUCGGCCGGGGACUCAUAGGAGACUGCCGGGGUCAACUCGGAGGAAGGUGGGGAUGACGUCAAAUCAUCAUGCCCCUUAUGUCUCGGGCUUCACGCAUGCUACAAUGGCCGGUACAGAGGGUUGCGAUACUGUGAGGUGGAGCUAAUCCCUUAAAGCCGGUCUCAGUUCGGAUUGGGGUCUGCAACUCGACCCCAUGAAGUCGGAGUCGCUAGUAAUCGCAGAUCAGCAACGCUGCGGUGAAUACGUUCCCGGGCCU
rnacentral:rRNA from 1 species